AUGCCCCUGGCCGACCGGAUCCGCGACCAUCUCGGCGUCUCCUUCCCGCGCAUCAACCUCGACGGCCUCGUGCCGCCCGCCCCUGCCCGCUCCCAGACCCAGCCGAUGAGGGAGAGGGAGGCCGCCGCGGUGGGGGGCAGCCUCACGGCGGAGGAGGCGCGGAAGGUGCUGCGCGCCACGCAGAUGGAGGCGGCGCGCGCGCGGGUGCGUGCGUCCCGCGAGGGCACCGCGCCCUACGCCGAGUUCCUGCGCCUCUGCUGCGACGCCGCGGGCGCGGACGACGGGCCCUCCGUCGCGCGCGCGCUCGACGAGUCCGGAUCCGUCAUCGUGCUCGGCAGGACCGUCUUCCUCAGGCCCGAAAUGGGCUGCAGGCUAGAUUUGAGACUGAGAGUGCGAGACUGGGGAGGCUGA
rnacentral:rRNA from 1 species